rnacentral:lncRNA from 1 species
CUUUAUAUUUUAUAAAACAUUAAAUAUCUACCUAUUGUAUAGAAUGUCGCGUAUAAAAAUAUUAUUUUAUAGUUUAUACAUUGUUUAUGAUCAUGAUUAACACAUUCAGUUCUAUUGUAUUUGAAUGGUGAAUAUAUGUUACGGCAUUUUAUCGAAAAUAUAAAUAUUAAACCGUAUAGAUAUUAUCUAAUAUUCUUCUAGUAUAUAAGACUAUAUAAUUAGAAACGAAUACUGAACCUUUUCCAUUGAAUUUGUGAGGUUCAGGCAACAAAUGGUUGACAAUUAUAGGAGCAACAAAAUAUAAUUUUACUCCCUCUAAAAUGAAAAAACAUCAUUUUCUCGCUCUGAUAGCCGCUAGUUGACCACCAUCUGGCAUCUGCUGCACGAUAUAGUGCUUAAUGAAAUCCACCUGUUGUAUUUGUGUAGCAUAGCUGAGGGAAACGAUGCAUAUUAAGUCAAAGAGAACAAUGCAUGAAAAAUAUCAAUCUUUUCUUUGACUGAAAAGAUGGAACUUUUGACUGAAGAUUUUUUGUGGUGGUGUGCUGUUAGUGGCGGAAAUUAGCAAGGAACGUGCAUCAUGAGAUAGAUUUGCUCCAAGGUGACUUCCGGAAGUUUCUCAGCAUUUCACAAAUACUAGAUUGCCCUUAUUACGUUUUCGUAGCGCUUUGCAUUGUGGUUAUAGUGGUAUCACUGAUAUUCAAGAUGGCUUAUUUUUUGUCCUGACCCAUGCAAGAACUUUUAAAAAAAGCUAGGGUCAGGUGCGCGAUAGCCAACAGCAUAUUCACGAAGACAUUCAAUAUUUUCAUUCGAGGCCGCUAUCUUUAUCAGUGAUACCACUAUAACCACGAUGCAAAGCGCUACGAAAACGUAAUAAGGGGAAUCAUCAAUUGCUUUCUCGAAAAUUCCUUUGUAUUUGUUGCUAAUUAUUUAAACAAAGACGAAGGAUUUUGCGAAAAUCUACAUAAGAGACUGAGAGAAACUGUAGCGUUAUAAAAAUAUGGGCAUUGUAUUUUAAAUGUACAAAAGUGUUAUCUGCCACAGUCGUAAAGGCCCGUUUACACUUGCAAUUCUUGCUGCGAUUUCCAGUGCGAUUUUCUUCUUCUGAUGGAUGUGAACGAGUGGAUGAGCUAUUAAUGUUCUGAGUGAGUAUAUGUACCCUUAUCUGAACAUUCA